GCCCUGGUAGCAUAACGGUUAAGCACUCAGCUGCUAACUGAAAGGCUGGUGGUUCAAACCCACCCAGUGGCU
rnacentral:tRNA from 1 species